rnacentral:rRNA from 1 species
ACUCCUACGGGAGGCAGCAGUAGGGAAUUUUCGCAAUGGAGGAAACUCUGACGGAGCAAUACCGCGUGUGGGAAGAAGAUUUUCGGAUUGUAAACCACUGUUGUAAGGGAAGAACGUUAUUAGUAGGAAAUGGCUAAUAAGUGACGGUACCUUACCAGAAAGGGACGGCUAACUACGUGCCAGCAGCCGCGGUAAUACGUAGGUCCCGAGCGUUAUCCGGAAUUAUUGGGCGUAAAGGGCACGUAGGCGGACAAAUAAGUUUGAUGUCAAAUAUGAUGGCUCAACCCAUCAAGAGGCGUUGAAAACUGUUUAUCUAGAAUCUCGGAGAGGUAAGUGGAAUUCCAUGU